UUGCACGCUGGCGGCAUGCUUUACACAUGCAAGUCGAACGGUAACAGGCCUUCGGGUGCUGACGAGUGGCGAACGGGUGAGUAAUGCAUCGGAACGUACCCAGAGGUGGGGGAUAACGCAGCGAAAGCUGUGCUAAUACCGCAUGUGAUCUGAGGAUGAAAGCGGGGGACCGAGCAGCAAUGUUUGGCCUCGCGCCUUUGGAGCGGCCGAUGUCGGAUUAGCUAGUUGGUGGGGUAAAGGCCUACCAAGGCGACGAUCCGUAGCUGGUCUGAGAGGACGACCAGCCACACUGGGACUGAGACACGGCCCAGACUCCUACGGGAGGCAGCAGUGGGGAAUUUUGGACAAUGGGCGCAAGCCUGAUCCAGCAAUGCCGCGUGCGGGAAGAAGGCCUUCGGGUUGUAAACCGCUUUUGGCAGGAACGAAACGGUGUCCGCUAAUACCGGGCGCUAAUGACGGUACCUGCAGAAUAAGCACCGGCUAACUACGUG
rnacentral:rRNA from 1 species